AUUGAACGCUGGCGGCAGGCCUAACGCAUGCAAGUCGAGCGGAUGAAGGGAGCUUGCUCCUGGAUUCAGCGGCGGACGGGUGAGUAAUGCCUAGGAAUCUGCCUGGUAGUGGGGGAUAACGUCCGGAAACGGGCGCUAAUACCGCAUACGUCCUGAGGGAGAAAGUGGGGGAUCUUCGGACCUCACGCUAUCAGAUGAGCCUAGGUCGGAUUAGCUAGUUGGUGGGGUAAAGGCCUACCAAGGCGACGAUCCGUAACUGGUCUGAGAGGAUGAUCAGUCACACUGGAACUGGGACACGGUCCAGACUCCUACGGGAGGCAGCAGUGGGGAAUAUUGGACAAUGGGCGGAAGCCUGAUCCAGCCAUGCCGCGUGUGUGAAGAAGGUCUUCGGAUUGUAAAGCACUUUAAGUUGGGAGGAAGGGCAGUAAGUUAAUACCUUGCUGUUUUGACGUUACCAACAGAAUAAGCACCGGCUAACUUCGUG
rnacentral:rRNA from 1 species